UUUUUUUGUUUUGUUGCUAGCGUUGUUUUUGUUUAUUUGUUUUUUUGGUGUCUGUUCCUUAACCCCUAUUUGGUUUUCUAAGAGCACUGCCAAAGCAAUAAAUCAAGGUAAUGGGUAAUGAAGCAAUCAGCAACUGAGAUCAAGUCAUUCCUUCAACAAAUGAGUUUUAUUGGGUACAUAUCACCAAGACAUGUAUGAACUCCUCAAGAUGCAGUCCUUCCAGAAAACUGACAAGUGUUGUAGUCUAAAGAAUUUAUAUCUUUGAAACACGACGGAGUUGCUCUUCAGCACUAACACAAAUGGAACACAACACAGUAAUGUUGCUGCACUGUUUGGAAGUUUGCUUGUUUAUCCAUGAGCAAAUACAGAUUCAGGUAGCUGCAUUUUAGCAUUGACAUAGCAAUUGCCUGCUUUCCAAUUUUUCUAAUUAAUUUGGUGGUAGUUUGCUUCCUGUCUUGUUUUUUUUUUUUUUCCACCUCCCAUGAAAUGUAACACAGAUGUAUGUAAUGGAGAUGCACUGAUAUUCAGAACCCAACUGGAUGUGACCCAGGGCAGCUUGAGCAGAGGGGUGCACCAGGUGAUCCUCCAGGAGUGCCUUCCAACCUCAGCUAUUUGGCGAUUUUGUAGUUCCCAUAUCAGAAACAGCUGGGGGAGUGAGGGGGGAGCUUUGGUAUUUCCAAUCCAAACCAAGGGAUGGCAAUGUCCUCUGGGAAGGCACUAUGCUUUCCAUGGUUUUAACAAGCAAUCUUUUCUAGGCUAUGGAAAACUGUGUCUCUGUUUUAAAGCUAAAAUAUUUACAGUUGUGUUCUCUGCCAAAUGUGUUCAAAGAAGAACAAGACAGCAAACUGGCCUUACUGUUUAUUUCUCUUUUAGCAGCUGUGCAGAGUGACAGUGCUCUACAUUUGAGUGAUUAAUACAUCACUCUGCACCAAAAGCUUGUUCUGUGCAGGUGAAAAUGGUUGAUCAAUACCUAAGUUUAAGAAACAAUCUUCAGUGGGUAGCCACAGUCACUCAAAUGUCUUUAAGACCAUCCUCCCUUCUAUUCAGAUGGCAGUUUAGCUAAACGUAAAGUAAUUACUAUAAAGACUGUUGGAAGAUAGGGGAUUCGUUCAUGCACUACAGUGCCGAGAGAAUGGUAAAGCUGAGAGUUUGCUAGAACUAACAGCAAAGUAGAAACUUAAUUAUUCCCCUGUGUAGCGCUUCUCCUUAUCGACUGUAAUUCUCAUCAGAUUUCAUUGCUUUCCUCCAACAGACUCUUCAUUAGACACACAUCUUUGGUCAUUUCAGCUCUUUAGGUUGUUUUAAAGACAUAUAAAUAAAUAAAUAAGCAUUUUUAACACUAAAUGCAUUGAACCUAUAAAAAACAAUAUAUCAGCUUUGUCAAAACAAAAGAAAAGGGUACUUCCAAGUCAUUAGCCAAAUGAAGUUGCUCUGCAGUAGCAAAUAAAUGGAGCCAAGACUUGACAUGGCAGUGUUUCUGAACAAAUAGUUAUUUUGAAAUGCGGGAAGUUUUUCAAAAGCAUCUGUCUAGAUUCAGGCAGUUGCAUUUUAAUAGUGAAUUCAUAAAUGCCAGCUUACCAUUUUUAUCACCCUGGAGACACUUGGUUUCUCCUUUCCAUGAAAUAUGACUACAUUACUCACUUUGGGCAUUUCAUUGCUUUCCACAUUUUUAAGACAGCCAAACUUGCUUGGAAAGAUUUCUCCCCAGUUAUCAAUUUGUAAUUAUUGAGUUGUCUGCAGGACAAUACUUGCAUGGUUACUUGUAGAAUCACUGAAAUGCUGAUUGGAAGAGAUCUCUGGAGUCCAGCCUCCUGCUCAAAGCAGAACAACCACCAGCACUAGAACAGGUCUGCCACGGGUUUGUCUAGCCAAAUUCUGAAAGCCUCCAAGAAUGGAAAACUAGCAAGCUGUAAGGUAGCCUGUUCCUCUCAAACACUGCCCUCACAACGAAUUAGUACUUCUCAGUGUCCAGCCUGAAUUUUUAAAUCAAACUUGCCUUUAUCAUUUCCCUCUAAGCAGAAUAGUUUGCUUCUGCUCACUGUUCACGUGUCCUAGGCUCCUAAGCACCUUGGGAACCCUCUCCAGUUCUUCCAUAUCCUUAUUGAAUCGGAGGGCCCAAAGCUGGACACAGUAUUACAGGUGUGGCCCCACCAGAUCUGAACAGCAUGUGUAACCUCUCUUGAUCUGCCAGCCAUGCUUUUCCUGAUGUAGCCCACUAUGCAGGCUGCCCUGUUUGUAAUUGGAGCAUACUGGGCUGUUUUCUGCUUGGUGUCCAGGUCCUGUUCAGCACGGCAGUCACUCAGACAGCCACUUCUGAUGCACAUUGUCAUUCUGGCAUGUGUGAGGAACUUUGGUCUUCUCCUUGCUAAACUACAUUAAGUCUCUGUUGGCUCGAUCUACAGGUUUUUCAGGGUCCCCUGGAACUGAAGCUUUACUGUAUAAAUAUCUCAACUCCCACCCAUUUCAAUAUCACCUGCAAAUUGGCCGAGGAUGCAUUCUGUCUCAUCAUCCAAGCUGCUGACAAGAAAAGUCAUUACCAAACACUGGCUAUUAUGGGUCAUGAACUAGACAUCAAGCUGUUGGCUGAGCUUGGAGGAUCAGUAAGUUUUCAGCCUGUCUCUCAGUUUCCAAAGGAGAACGCUGUGGGAUACAGUAGGCCAUCAGAAGCCUUAUUAGAAAGAAGGUGUACUACAUCCCUGCUCUCUCUUCAUCCAUGCCACCAGUCAUGUCUGGAUAGCAGGCAGCCAUGGUGGUCAGAUGGCAUUUGUCCAUGGUAGAUUGAAACCAAGGGUUUCCAAUCACCUUUUUCUCAACAUGUAUUUGGAAAUGAAUUCAGUGGUUGUAUUCACUGAUGCUGGACAGCAGCCUGAUGCGUCAGCCUAAUGGUCCCUCACAUCAGUAUUUAAGCCACAGACAGUACUAUAGUUUCAUGUGCAGGAUACUUUCCUCUUUCUUUCUUCUCUAUACAUUUGUACUUUGACUGCAAACAUACUGACCUUCUGCCUUCCACAUUCCUAAGCAGAUGUGCUUUGCAGCAAACAUGUCAAGGAUGCAGCAAUGCAUCUGACAGUCGUACUGUUUUACAGACUGAUGGGGCUACAGAGUCAUAGAAUCAUUAGGUUAGAAAAGACCCCUAAGAUCAUCUGGUCCAACCAUCAACUUAUCCCCACCGUGCCCACUAAACUGUGUCCUUCUCCCACACCUCCAUGUUUCCUGAAUGCCUCCAGGGAUGGUGAUUCUACCGCCUCCCUGGGCAGCCAGUUCCAACACCUCACCACUCUUCCUGAGAAUAAUUUUUUCCUACAUCCAACCUGACCCUAUUCACUUUAUUUCAGUAUUCCAAACUUAUUUUGUCAAUGGCCAUUUCUCCAUCUGUUCCGACACAGUGAAAGCACAGACUGCAAGCCUAAAGAGCUUGUAUGUCAAACACAACCUCCCCAACAGAAAGUCGUAACACAAAUUGAUGCUUAAACCUAACAAAGCCUCAGCACCACAGAAAUGAACUCUAUUCAUUUCCCUGUCACUGCAAUUUCCAUACUAUUUAGGGCACACUGUCACUAAGGUUUCUGCUCAUGGGCACAGGGGGCCUACCUCUUUGACCAGGCCCACUCCAGGUUCCAUGGUAAGGUAGCAGGGAAACCCAAAUGGAAAUAAAAUGGAAUAAGAGGGCAAUACACUGAGGUCAGCACGGCAAGAACAGGGGCGGACUCACUGUGACCCCUGACAGCUUGUCCCAGGAGGGCUUGAGCUGCAGCCCAGGGGUCAGACUUUCUACCGCGGGACGGAAUGUCCCCCCCGGGCCGUGCUUGGAAGUGGCCUGGUGCUGCCCAAAUGCACACCAGGAGCGCUGCAACAGCUCGCUGUCACCGGCGGUUGUGUUCUGUGCUCUCGAGGGAGUCUCCGGACACAGCUCAAUCCUCAAUGCCCAGAGAAGCUGUGGAUGCCCCACCCCUGGAGGCGCUCAAGGCCGGGCUGGAUGGGGCCCUAGGCAGCUCCAAACGGGGAGAACUCCCCCACCUCGCAGCCCGCUUCCCUCAGCGCCGAGCACGGCUCCCUCCCUCCAUCCCUUCCCGAACGGCUCCAGGCCGCGCCGCCCCGCCCAGGAAGCGCCCUUUGCCCGCGGAGCAGGAAGCGGGGCGGCGCCGGGCGGCAGCGGGCGUCCUGCAGGUAGGCGCGGGGCGGCUGGCUCGGGGCGGCAGCGGAGCGCUGGGCCGGGAGAGGGCAGCCCGGGUAGGAAGCUCCGGCAGAGCCUUUGUCUGUCGGCACCGUGGAGGAAGGACCUGCCCGGAGAAGAGACAGAAAGGAGAAGGGGAGGGCCGGCUGUCCUUUUUGUACUCCUCUCUCCGCUUCAGCCGCCGUCCCUGUGUGCUCGCGUGCCUUGCUUGUAACGCGGUUCCCCCGUCCCAUCCCUUUUCACCUGCCUUAGGCAGAAGCAUCUCCUUGCCCAGUUUCCACCCGCCGCUUCCGAUCCCUGUUGCACACAGGCAGCCUCGUACUCUGCUCCCGUUCCCCAAAGCUCCACGGCUCCCUCUUGUCCUGCGCACCCCUGUCUGGGUGCCGUGGCAGUGGCCUGCCCCAUCCUCCUGCCCGUCCCAGCGCAUCAGCCCGCGCUUCACGGACGGCAUCGCUGUACGUCAGGGACAGGGCACAGGCUGCCCAGGGCUGUGGGCACGACCCCACGUACCGGUGUUCAGGGAGUGCUUGGACACCGCUUUCAGACAUAGGGUUUGGAAUUUGGGUGGUCCUGUGUGGAGUCCAGAGUUGGACUCGGUAAUUCUUGUGGGGCCCCUUCCAGCGUGGGGUAUUCACACCUUGUUCUGAAUGGCAGCUUUGUGCCUUUGUGCCCGGGAUGACCAUGCAGAGAACGCUCAGCCAGCAACAGCACUUCAGGAGCAGACUGCAGGACCCCGAUGAGCCUGAGAGAUGGAGCUCUACGCUGGGAUGACUCCCACAGCCUCCACAGCGCGACGCAGCCACAGGACGACUAUGGAGCUGAGUGGUCAGGAGAGAAAAUGAAGAGCCAUCAGCAAACAGCUGAGGAGGAUUCCUGAUUGGUGAACCUGACAUAACCUGCCCAGAUGGACCAAGGAGAAGAUCAAGAUCAUGAGGCCUCGGAGGAGAUGCACGUGUUGAGGUCGGUCCCUUUCUGAAUCACUUCACAAGCACGGAUCAGCAGGACUUGUUGGCACCAGGAUCCACGGCGGGAGAGGAACAGCUGGGGAAUGGCCGUGGAAGUCAGUGUGGUUCCACAGAGGCACGGCGAGG